ACAGGUCGAUGUAGGCACCCUGCCAACUCAGCUCUCCCUUUGGCUUGCCAGCCCCUGAAUUCAAUGUCGAGAAGCAGUAGGACAUCAGACAGCUCGGCAAGUCACGGUGGGACCUCGGCAAACCACAGUGGUACAGCGGUAGGACCUCGGAUGGAAAAAUGGUGAGCAUCUAUAAGAAGAAAACAGUAAUAUACAUAGACUGUUCAAUAUGGCAACUUGAAGUCUACAAGCAUGAAAACACAAGAGCUGAAUGGUGAAUAGGUUCUGACCAUGGUGGGCCUUGGGGUCUCACUAUGCAGUUCAGGCUGACUUUGAGAUCACUAUGUAGCUCAGGAUAGCUCAGUCUCACACUGAUCAUCCUGCCUCGGCCUUCUGAGUGCUGGUAUUACAUGCCUGUACCAUCACUCCUGGCUUUUAUAUAUGUUUUGCUAAAGUCUAAGUCUUUUUCUUUUCUCCUGUCUCCUCCCAUCCGCACUCUCCCCCUCCCUUUCCCUCCUCUCCCUUCCUCUCUCUCCUUCUCUUUUCUUUCUUCAGUCCUAGAGACUGAACCCAGUGACUUGCUGAGCUAGACAUAUACUCUGCACCCCUAAUCUCCUGCUUCAGCCUCUGGAAUAUCUGAGAUUGACUUGUCCCAGAAUUUUCCUUGUGCCAAAGAGCAUCAAAAGCAGCAUCCAGUGUUGUAAGGCGCACAUCGAAGAUUAAUUUGAACAGUAGCUUUCCCUGGAAUGAACAAUGGUGAACCACAUUUAUCACAGGAAAUCCAAAAGUUUGACUAGUGGCCAAAUAGAGAAUGGACUGUGUAUCUCCACAUUUCCUGAGCAGCUGAAGUAUAUGGUGUAGUGUUGGAAAAGAUUAUGGAAAACGGAAAGCUGCUUAAGACAAAGUUCUUGGCCUCAAGAAGAGAAAGAUACGUACACAACCUAUGAUCAGGCAGAGAAUUCUGAGGGAGCAGGGACUCGAAGGAAACAAGUCAUUCUAAAUUGCAUCUUCAAACAAAUCAUUUGGAAGACAUGAAGACAUUUUGGCAUAAAGCAUAUUUCCAACCAACAACUUCCUUUGAACUAGAACAAGCUGCCGAAGAGACACUCUAUUUCCACUGCUCAUCUCACAGUUCAAAAUGUAGCUACUGAUGCCAUGCUCUGUAGAAGCCUGAGGGUGAACUUGGACAUCUGAAUGAACUCACUCAUGGAAUAGUCAAUACAAAAAGGAAAUAUUUUACUCGUUAAAACAUCAAGGGAAGAGUAUUAUAAAAGAAGUGACUGAUGGUGAGCCGGAAUGAGCAAUUUUAAAAGGUGCUCCAGACUUCUCAACAGGAUUAAUUAAUAGAUUCACUCUAUUUGAUCUUCUGUUGGAUUCCUGUCUCCAACUCCUGGCCUGAGACUCUGAUACAACUUCAGCCCAAACUUAAAUAGACAUGGCAGCAAGAAGAGAGACCAAGGUGGUGUUUUUUCCAACACUCUUCAGCAGCUUUGAGAGACAAUGAAGUAUUGGAGAAAGGAAAGACGAAUGGAUGGCACAAGAAAAGUAGGAGCUGAAGUACAGGCGACCUAGAUGACAAAACCUUCUGCAUGUUCAACUGAAUCAUUCCAGAUGUUUCCAUCUUAUCGUGGCAUCCAAGGACAAGAAGUCAUGAGGGUUGUUCUGGGCAUCUUUCCUCCAGAAACUCUGUGGUAGAAUAGUAGAUGCAACUAUAGAAAUAAUAUCAGUUAAGAAAGUAGUUUCUUAUCAUAGACCUCUGCAUGUGGGCUCCCAUAUCCAGGCUUUUAGAAAGAUACGCAGGAUGUGGUGAUGGCGUUGGCAUAUGUGUAUGUAGGGGGCAAUGUUUCUGAUCAAACAUAUUCACAAAUUUAAAGUUAAAGAUGUGAUUGCUCCUUGUUUACCAAGCACACCUAUUGAAUUUAUCCACAGAAAUAAAAUGUGUUUUACUCUGUGUUUUCAUCUUUUCCAUUGCCACUGUGCACUGAUUAAAACAUGUGCCAAACAAUAUUUUUUCUUUUGCUAGUAUUUUAAAAAGAGACAUGAUUUAUUCCAGAGAACUUUAAUCCAGAACGAUUUUGCUGAGGAAGAAAGCAUGCUUGCUUAGUUUCUCAGAGUAUUAUUAUCGAGUGAUAUGCCCUUGUACCAUGUGAGUUUUAGGAUAAAUUACUUGGGACUGGCCUGGUUUAGCAGUGUUACUUAGGUUUAGUUUAUAAUGAAAAAUACUCUGUCUAUUCAAUUCACUCCACUUAAACACAGUUCAUUUAUGUUGCUUUGUAGUUUUUAUAUCUGGACACUUACUUAAAAUUUUCUAGUGUUUUAUGAAUGCAUUCAUUGCGAAGAACAAUGUGUGCCUUAUCAUCAGAGAAAUGCAUUUGACUCUCUCUGUGUGAAAAGAAGGCCGGAAUGAUGGCGUCUCAGCAUCAGCAGAGACCACAGUAAUUAUUUCACAGCUAUGCUGAUGCAAAAAGAUGGCAACUUCGUUUCCAACUUUAUGCCUUUCCUCCUCUCUGCUGGAUAAUCCUCUGAAACACCCAUGACUUUCAUUCAACUUCUUUAACAGUUUUCAUGAUGUCUAAGACAUUUGAGGCAUUGUUUGACAAAGCAAUCCCUGGGAAAGAGUUGGCAAGAAGGUCCGCCCCCCCACCCCAGUCACCCCUCUAUCUUGGCUCGUCCUCUCACCUCCAACACAGCACUGCCACCAGGUGGGGGAAGGAAGGUGAAGCCUAGGAACAAACACCACCUUAUGUGACCCCAUGCGAUGUGACGUCUUUCUGGCGAAGAAGGCUGAAGAUGAAAGAUGUACAGGCAUUAAAGCGAAUGACAUAGUCUCAGGGAAAAGCCAGCCGUUGUGUUUGGCUGAAAUACAGGAUGGUGGGGAGGCAGAAUGGAUAUAUGCUGAUCUUCUAGAAAGUGAGGAAGCUUUGAAGAUGCUUUUAACAGAGUUUCAAUAUCUUGUGGCACUUAAGAAAAGGUCAGAGAUGGUUUAAAACCUGUUGCAAUAAGAUAGACAGGAUAGGAUGGCAACAAUCAUAAAGGUGGGGCUCUGUUUUAUUUUUCUUGAGACAUUUGAGCGUUUGCAUUGACUGACAAAAUCAAAUGUAAAGGAGAACGGAGAGGGGAAGCAUUACAUGGUGAUUGUAUGGCAUUUGCCUAACAUAUACAUGAAUGAGAAUUGGCAGAAAGAAAAGAACUAAGUUUGGAAAAGUUAGUUUAGUUUUUUUAUGUGCUAGAUAUGCAGUAAAAGAUCAAAGCUGAGAGAGUUUAGUAACAGAAUUGCAUUCUUGAGUUCAGGAGAGAAUUUGGAGUGAGAACUAUAGAUUUGAGAACGAUACGAGGUUAGUGUUAGGCACUAAAUAAGCCAGACUGCCCAGGGAGGAGAUGCGUCCUGAGAAAACGAGAAACAGAUGCUAGCAAGAACGGGACAGGAAAGUAAGUCAACCAAAAGAGAAGUGAAAACAAAAUAUUUCAAAGAGUUUCUAAGUGAAACUUCUUUGGCAAAUUGUCUUUGAUUUAAACUAUUUACCAUAUUGUAUUCAUAGAUUUAUUUGAAUUUUUGUAUAUGGCAAAAGAUGAAAGGUAACAAUCGAAAAUCCAUGUUUAUUCUCCUAUUUUAAAGUGACAUCCUCUGUUACUAUACAGGGAAAUCAUUGCUGGUUUUAAGCCUCAAAGUUAGAUUACUUCUUUGUGUUAUCUGAAUCAUUUUUUUUCGUCUUACGGCACACUAUUAGUUUCAACUGAGUUUUGUAGUUAUUAUCUUUUUAAAAUGUAUAAAUAUAAUAUGAUUAUUGAACAAUUCAAACAGCACAGAAAGGUGUCUCGUAAUCAGCUACCCUCACUUCCAGGUUGUUUUCAUUUCGUACAGACUCUCCCCGAAGUUUGUCAUCUUAAUUUUAGAUUCACAUAUACGUAUCUGUACACAGAAGUUCUCAUAGAUCUGCACAACACUUGAACAACAUUGCUGCUGAGUUCCUUCAAGUGAGCAAAAAUGUUACUGUCCUUCUCUGAGCCCAAAUAUUCUCUUGGUCUGUCGAUGUCAGACCGACCCUCCUACAGAUCGUCUUUGGUGCAAGCCCAACGUUUUUCUUCAGAUCUGCUGAUGUAUUCAUUACUAUCUGUCCCACAGUUUUCUUUUUACUGAACACCCCUUUUGGCAUAUGCGAAGGUAUAUGGAUGCACUCUUUUGCUCAGCAGAUAGUCUUUCCAUUCUUUCGGUCUUUCAUCUACCUGGGUGGAAGAGCCACAGGCUCUGAUGGUUCACUCUUUUUCUAACCUGCAACUUUCUAUGAAAGAAAAGGUUUAGAGAAUUUUUCACAAAUAAUAUAAAAUAUAACACUUUCAUUAGAAAACAGAAAAAUGGAUCAUUGAUCUGGAUUUUUUUUCUGUUUUUGUUUUGUUUGUUUGCUUCUUGAGACCGGGUUUUGCUAUGCAGUUCAGACUGGCCUCAAAAUCGCUAUGUAACCCACACUAGCCUCGAACUUAUGGCAAUCCUCCUGCCUCAACCUUCUGAGUGCUGGGAUUACAGGCAUAUGCUGCCAUGCCCAGUCAUUGAUUUAGUUUUAAGAAAGAUUUUUUUUUUUUCCUGCACUCUUGGGAGGUCUUCAAGAAAACUGUUUAUAGUGCUUGAGAUGUUUGCUCUUACCAUGCAGUGUUUUUUUUUUUUUUUCUUUCUUAUCAGAAAAAUGCAACUAAAAGGAUGUGGUCAUUUUUUCUUCUUUUAUAAAAUUUAAUUUAUUAUCACUAUCUUUUCUGUAUCUAUUCUGGCAAAGAAUAAAUAACAACUGCAAAUCCUCUAAAGAAAA